AUCGAACGCUGGCGGCAGGCCUAACACAUGCAAGUCGAGCGAGCGGCGGACGGGUGAGUAAUGUAUGGGGACUGCCCGAUAGAGGGGGAUAACUACUGGAAACGGUUGCUAAUACCGCAUACUAUCGGAUAACCCAUAUGGGAUUAGCUAGUAGGUAAGGUAAUGGCUUACCUAGGCGACGAUCCCUAGCUGAUCUGAGAGGAUGAUCAGCCACACUGGGACUGAGACACGGCCCAGACUCCUACGGAGGCAGCAGUGGGGAAUAUUGCACAAGGGGCGCAAGCCUGAUGCAGCCAUGCCGCGUGUGUGAAGAAGGCCCUAGGGUUGUAAAGUACUUGCAGUCGAGAGGCGUUACCGACAGAGGAAGCACCGGCUAACUCCGUGCCAGCAGCCGCGGUAAUUC
rnacentral:rRNA from 1 species